UGAGGGUUUUUUCACUAUAAAAGAAGUAAAAAAAUAAUUUGUUGUAUUGCAUGCAAAUGAAGGAACAUAUGACUAAACUUUUGAAGUUUAUUUAUGCUAUGAUUAUCUUUCUUUCACUAUUUAUUGUUGUAAUCAAGGCCAAUGCAUAUCGUGAAUGCAAUAGUGACGGUGAUUGUCCAAAUUAUAAUUGUCGUGUUAAGGAAGUUGGAAUGUGCUAUUUUACUAAAUGUUACUGUAUUCGACUCUAAUUUUUUUUUUUUUAAGAAACAAACUACACAUUCUCUCUAAGUUCUCUUUCUUCACUCAAUCAAGAGGAGUGAUUUUGGAACAUUUUUAUCCUAAAAUUUCUCCUAUAUGUAUCUUUGUUCCUUUCUUUUAAUGUAAAUAAGUGGUAUCUACAUAAAUCAUGUUUUUUCUGAA